AUGGAUAAUAUCAGGAAAGUUGUACAUGAUGCAGAAACCCUUACCAAAUAAAAUUCAAUUACUCAAUUCACCGAACGUGAAUUAAAUGGACUUAACCUAGAACUUCAAACCUAUCAGGGUAAUAAUAAAAGUCUAACAAAUAAGAUUCUUUCGUAUGAUAGCGAGAUUGACAAGGCAAAAGCCAGGCUGGAACAACUCAAGGAUGAGAAAGAUGGGGCAUACGAUGGUGUGAAAUAGAAAGGGUUGAGAAAAACAUUAAAUCAUGGAGGAUGAAAGGAAUGCCUUACAGGAAAAGGUGAAAGAACUCAAGCCAGCUGACACACAUCAAGGACACGCUGUUGCAAAUUUACAAAGAUAACACAUCCCUGCUUAAAAAGCUUAAAAUACUCUUCAAGGAGCGGGGUGUAACUAUAGCGAGUAUUGUAUCGGCUGUUGGUCUACUGGUUUCCACCAUUGUACUCGCCGUUACAGGUGAAAGUGCCGCGGCAGGAGCAGGAGGAAGUGCGUAGCAGGUGCAGAAAAAGGCUUUGUAGAGAAGCAGCUUAAAAGGCUCGGAAGGUUCCUUAAAUAUUUGGCAGGUAAGGCAGGUGCUGCAUUACCAGGGAUUUUUGGUACGGUUGUCUCGUUCUUUUAGAGGGUAGUGUCAACCAUCGUGGAAUAUGCGGCCAAGCAUUUGUAUAUGGCAACAGCGGCUGUUUCCGGGUUUGCCGCGCUAUACGUGAGGAAAUAGGUUACUUGAGCCAGAUGAAGGCAAUGAUGAUUCCUACCCCCGUUGUGAUUAAUGCGGCCUUGGUAUUCUCGUGCUGGUUUUGUAGGGGUUGUUCAGAUAUAGUAGGUAGUAUGGUAUGUUUGGGAGGUAGUUUGAUAUCUGCUACAUGUCUAAUGGUAUGCUCGGUAUGCUUAGGGGGUGUAGUAUGUAUAGGUGUUUUGAUAGUAUGCCUAGGGGGUGCGGCGGACGCACCCCUCUCUAUAGACUUGUUAUUCACAUCAACCUGUACCCCCACAUUUACAUUGGGCAAGUUCAUUUCUAAGGGCAACAUGUAGACGCUGGGCAUGACGGCGAAAUUCACCGGAGUUAUAUUGAAGCACUUUCUGGAAUUCUGUUAUGUCAUGGCCUACAUUCUCUUGACGGUGUACCAUGGCUACAAAUUAUCUUAGGACUACUUAGGACAGGAUAGUAGGAUUGCCUUGAAAUCCAUCAGUAUCAGGCCUGUAUGGCUGAACCAGUACAGCAACAACGAGUUUGCAGGUGGAAGUCCGAAUCGAGAUCAUGAACGGUCUGUAUAGAAUCGAAGAUCUGGCAACUAUCGUCAACUCCCAGGCAGGGGACAAGAUUAAGCUUUUUGUCCUGAAAAAUGGACUCUGUAGGCUCCGUGUCAGUGGCGGCUAUACGGUUGUGAUGAAUCGACAACUGCAAGAGCUCUUAGGCCUACCCUACGAUCCCGCAAAAAAGUACUAUAAGAAGGGUGACUACAAUGCAUACUAUAGGACUGAUGUUUACCAUAGAUUAAGACUCGUUUGCCCCCAGUUGGAUGAAGGCGACUGCCUACUUGACGGUAAAUAGUCUAAAAUUCUGGCCUUGCUUUCCACCAAGGGGCUAAACGCUUGGGGGGAUAUGCUGACCUGCAGUUUUGAUACCCUUGUUUACCUUCCUUUGAAGG